AAAGUUCGUUGGAGUUUCUCUGUUACAUUGUACAGAAAAACACGAACAAACUUUUUG
ensembl:miRNA